rnacentral:rRNA from 1 species
GAUGAACGCUGGCGGCGUGCCUAAUACAUGCAAGUCGAGCGAACGGACGAGAAGCUUGCUUCUCUGAUGUUAGCGGCGGACGGGUGAGUAACACGUGGAUAACCUACCUAUAAGACUGGGAUAACUUCGGGAAACCGGAGCUAAUACCGGAUGAUAUUUUGAACCGCAUGGUUCAAAAGUGAAAGACGGUCUUGCUGUCACUUAUAGAUGGAUCCGCGCUGCAUUAGCUAGUUGGUAAGGUAACGGCUUACCAAGGCAACGAUGCAUAGCCGACCUGAGAGGGUGAUCGGCCACACUGGAACUGAGACACGGUCCAGACUCCUACGGGAGGCAGCAGUAGGGAAUCUUCCGCAAUGGGCGAAAGCCUGACGGAGCAACGCCGCGUGAGUGAUGAAGGUCUUCGGAUCGUAAAACUCUGCUAUUAGGGAAGAACAUAUGUGUAAGUAUCUGUGCACAUCUUGACGGUACCUAAUCAGAAAGCCACGGCUAACUACGUG